UACGUAGGGGGCAAGCGUUGUCCGGAUUCAUUGGGCGUAAAGAGCGUGUAGGCGGCCAGGUAGGUCGGUUGUGAAAACUGGAGGCUCAACCUUCAGAGGUCGACCGAAACCAUCUGGCUAGAGUCCGGGAGAGGAGAGUGGAAUUCCUGGUGUAGCGGUGAAAUGCGCAGAUAUCAGGAAGAACACCCGUGGCGAAGGCGGCUCUCUGGUACGUGACUGACGCUGAGACGCGAAAGCGUGGGGAGCGAACAGG
rnacentral:rRNA from 1 species